UUUUUCUGACAUUUAAGUUUGUGUCGUCUCUUCCUUCCAAAUUCUUUCAUAGUUCUUAAACACACAAAUGAGUGAUCAAGAUUCAAGAACAACAGAAGAAACUCGAUCUGCCACCAAAUGAAAAAAAAAAAAAUAACUGCUGUUAGAUUUUUCAAAAUCAUCUGAAAUUUCUGAUAAAAUUUGAGUAGGAAGAUGAUAAGAAGGGAGAUUUGAUGCCAAUGGAGAAAUGCAGAAAGCAAAGAAAAAGGCGCUGUGCUCAACCACAUAGCAUGAAAGAGUAGAGACAAAGCAUCAAUACUAGAUGACACUAUAAAAUACAUAAAAGCCCUGCAAACUCAAGCUCAGGUAAAUUCAGUUUUUGCCUAUUUCUUUAUACUUUGGGAAAUUGUAAUGGAAUAAUCGUUGCCAUUUACGACUUGUACAUAUAAGUGGGCUCCAUUAUCCACAUCGAGCUUUGAAGUGGGCUCCAUUAUCUACAUCGAGCUUUUUGUCAAACUGAAAUCUACAUUGCUUGGGGUUAACUCACAAAGUGCACCAAGCAGCACUACUUGUGUAUUAUGUCCAGUUAUCUAACGUCCGACUACAAGAGUAUGAAGAAGACUGAUUUUGACGAAGAAGUCAAGUCAGUCGUGAAGUUAUGGACUACGCAUCAAGCAACUAUGAGUCUAUCGAAUGGUUGUCCUUUUGUCUUCGUUCUUCAUUGUUCUUUUACAUUUUCCUUUUCUUUUCCAUUUAACUUGCUUCAUAUCAUGAAAUUCUAAUGCAAGGGUAGCAGUACAAACACAAAGUCCAAUGACUCGGGUUUAUGAAACUCGAAGACGAUAGGUUUGUGACAAAACUCUUUAAGGUUUCAUUAUGUUUUAUGCAUUUUUAUAGCUCAUGUCAUGUCGUAUUUUCUCAUAGCUGGACUGAAGCUAAAACAAAUCUAGUCAUGUAAAUCUCAAUACACCAUUUCAAGAAUUGAAGUAAAAAUGGUUUUUUUAACAGUGUUGGA